GCCCCCUCCAUGGAGACAUGAAGUCCUGACAGCCCCAUCCAGGAGAGAAACAUAAUUGAGGUGGAAGGAUCCAGAAGAAAGGAACCAGUGAUGAUGAGGACAGAGGGCUCUCCACGGGAAGGUGGGAGAGAAUUUAGUUCUCUGUGCCGUGAAGAUGGGAUUGGAGCCAUACAUUGGAGAUGAAGAGAGUCCUUCCAUCCAUCUGCUGGACCUGCUGGGCCUCAGGGCUUUCUCUGAAGUGGUAGGGGGAAGAUGUCACAGAGGAAAUGUAAAGAAAAGUCUACCUCGGCAGUCUACAGCGUGGUGGAUAAAAAAAGAGCAGGAAGAGUCUGGCGAGGCGAUCAGCCUGAUGUAGUACCUGAGGAAGGCAAGAAAGGAUAUAAAGAAAAUAAGAAACAACACUUUCUCUGCACAUCCAAAUUGUGGCAAGGAUUUUUGCAGAUUGCCACCAGUUCACUGAGAGGAGUCAUUGAAAACAUGGCAUUGAGGACAGAGACUGCCACUUCAGAAUUUUCUACAUCCAACUGCUGAAGCCACUCGAAGAUAUUUCCCUCAGAGAACCAUAACCAGCUUUGGAGAAGAUGCUUCCACAUAGCUUGUUUCACAGCAUCUCAUCUCUCAUUAAAACCUUGUUGAGGGAGCAUUACUGUCUGAGCAAUGGACAUAGCUCUCAUACGAACCUUUUCAGCUAACACCGGAUAAGCCAGCUUUCUGACAGCCUCUUUCACAUCCUUGGUGCACCCUACAAUUUUUGGCAAAGUCUUUGCUGAUGGUGCAAUACAUGAUAA
rnacentral:lncRNA from 10 species